UGGGAGAAAAAUGUGCUCUGGUUUAAACCAAUCACAAUUGGUCAGCUCUAAGUAUGGGUUUACACCAGUAGAAUGUCUCUAAAUGCGUCUUGAGUGACCACUUGUGAUCAGAUCUCAAUUCCCCGCUCUAUAUGCAAAUAAACACGUACCUAAUUUCUGUUUACACAAUUUACUC